rnacentral:hammerhead_ribozyme from 1 species
AUCUAGCUGACGAGUCCAAAAUAUGACGAAACGCGCAUACUGUAU